CUUGCCCGGCGUGGCACACGUCAGUGGGGCGAGAAGCGGUCGCUCCGCAAAACAUGCUGCUUACCUGGAAAUUAAGUAAAAGGCCGACGAGACAGCUACCGCCAAGAAGCCGAGAGACUGGGAAGGGCGCCGCGCGGGAAGACUCCUGAUAAAGCGUACGUAGCGCCUCCUGAAGCCAGUUUCUCGAAUUCCCUACCAUUGGACCACUUGAGGUGCCUUCUACAGAAGAGGAUGCUUCAAUCUUCAGAAGGAGUAAAUCCCAAUCCAACAGAACGAUUAUUUGCUGUCACUCAGAGUUGCUGAACCCUUGAUCCACAGAAAGGACUUUCACAAAACAUAAUGGACUUAUCCAAAGCAAAGAGUGUCUGAGCCCACUCCCCACAGUUUGUUCUUGUUCAGUCUUCUGAGUGUCUGAGCUACUUUUACAAUGAAUGGAUUUGACAGACUUUUCGUUUCUGAACUCCCCAUCAAGGAAGAAUGGGUUAGUUUUCCCUCAGAGACUCUAAAUAUGUCAUCCAUAGAAUGGACUUGUCCAGCCUGCUAAGGGUGAGCACCCCAAACACAGACUAGAUUUAACUUUUGGAGUACGGUAUGGUAUGCAUCCACAAAAUGGACUUGUCUGGCUUUUGCCAUAUCCAGACUUCUAUGCCCAGGAUGGACGUGAAGAGAUUUCACAUUGUCCACACAUGUGCUAGUCUUAGCCCUCUGAUAAUCUGAGCCCCCAUGCAAAAAUUAGAGGUACUUAUUUACCUCUCAAAGUGUCUGAGCUCUGAUCAUAUUUCACAGUUCGUGACACAUCGUCAUGGUUGUUCUAUGCGAAGCCUCUCAUUUUAUUUAUUCUUUUAUUCCUGCACCCAACUAUCAUUCUCUUCCUCCCACCGUUAACUCUUUUAUUGGGUUUAAUGUUAUCUCUUGGUGUGAUUUCAUAUAAAAUGUGCAUUUUUGUGU